rfam:Streptomyces sp. 150FB scaffold00001, whole genome shotgun sequence.
CUUCAACGACCCGAUCCACAGAGGCCGUUCGGCGUCCCGCCCCUGCCCGUACGUCGCGAGCAGCGCCUGCGCCUC